CCUGCAAAGACUGUACGUAGUUGGGUACAAUAGUUUCAGUACUCUGCCCCAGCAUAGGUUGCUUCGGUCCUAGUUAGAAGGAUAAUUCAGUACCAGGCUAAAUACUCCAUUUUUCAAGAAGGAUUCAAACAAAUUGGAAAGCAUUCUCUUCUCUCUUGUAGAAUUCAAUUUCAUUUCACGAUAGGAAGGAGGUUACAUCGAUCCAUACCAUUCUGCACCACCAAGACAAAGGACAGCAGAGUACAUCAGAGAGCUGCUUUUAUACAAAGCAGCGGGCAGUUAAAGAAAGAGGAAAUAAAGCCACUUGAUUCAUUCAAUUCAUGGUAAGAAAAGAAAGAAAAAUCUCCUUUUGGAGUAACAGCCGCCAGUUAAAUACCUCUUCCUCGCUGCCACAGUUAAAUUCGCAUGUUCAGUCCUACUGCUUCAUGCGAAAAAAAGAGCACAAGCCUGAUAAUUCCAUGAUUCCACCCUCAGUUCUGGUGUCAAAAAUAUUUUGCAGCUACGACUCAAGUCUUCUUCUUGAUGGGUAUCAAGUGACUGAUGUCUCGCACGUCCUUUUUUAUUUCACAUAGGGAACAGAAGCCUGAAAAACAACAGUGAUGGCAUCAACUAUCAAUCUCAAGUCUAAUAGCAGAAAAAGGCUACAAAAAUAAGUGGAUGAAAGAUAAUAUUAUAAACUAGAGAAAGCAAGCAGGAGAAAGAUAAAUAAGCAAGCCAAAGUGGUUGCUUUGCACUAUGAAUGCAGUCAUAAAUUAAGGAUCAGAAAUUUGGUUCUGGAAGUACUAACUGGCAGAUUGAGUUGACUUGCAGAGAAAUAUCGAUCAUGUAGCAGAAUGAAGAUUAACAGCUAGCGUUGC
rnacentral:lncRNA from 1 species